rfam:Marinomonas spartinae strain CECT 8886 genome assembly, contig: 0002
UCUCUUAAUCAGUAUGAUAAAGUAGAGUAAUAAGGACCCCUAUAUGGGGUUUUUUGUUAUCUGCACUGUUACUGUUUGUAAAUAGAAAUGGGCCUUGAGCCCGUUUUUU